ACCCAGCUGAAGAGUCCCAAAUAAGACAAAGCACACGUCCUAGAU
rnacentral:hammerhead_ribozyme from 1 species